rnacentral:rRNA from 1 species
CCGGCGGGUGCUAUACAUGCAAGUCGAACGCGUUGGCCCAAUUGAUUGAUGGUGCUUGCACCUGAUUGAUUUUGGUCGCCAACGAGUGGCGGACGGGUGAGUAACACGUAGGUAACCUGCCCAGAAGCGGGGGACAACAUUUGGAAACAGAUGCUAAUACCGCAUAACAGCGUUGUUCGCAUGAACAACGCUUAAAAGAUGGCUUCUCGCUAUCACUUCUGGAUGGACCUGCGGUGCAUUAGCUUGUUGGUGGGGUAAUGGCCUACCAAGGCGAUGAUGCAUAGCCGAGUUGAGAGACUGAUCGGCCACAAUGGGACUGAGACACGGCCCAUACUCCUACGGGAGGCAGCAGUAGGGAAUCUUCCACAAUGGGCGCAAGCCUGAUGGAGCAACACCGCGUGAGUGAAGAAGGGUUUCGGCUCGUAAAGCUCUGUUGUUAAAGAAGAACACGUAUGAGAGUAACUGUUCAUACGUUGACGGUAUUUAACCAGAAAGUCACGGCUAACUACGUGCCAGCAGCCGCGGUAAUACGUAGGUGGCAAGCGUUAUCCGGAUUUAUUGGGCGUAAAGAGAGUGCAGGCGGUUUUCUAAGUCUGAUGUGAAAGCCUUCGGCUUAACCGGAGAAGUGCAUCGGAAACUGGAUAACUUGAGUGCAGAAGAGGGUAGUGGAACUCCAUGUGUAGCGGUGGAAUGCGUAGAUAUAUGGAAGAACACCAGUGGCGAAGGCGGCUACCUGGUCUGCAACUGACGCUGAGACUCGAAAGCAUGGGUAGCGAACAGGAUUAGAUACCCUGGUAGUCCAUGCCGUAAACGAUGAGUGCUAGGUGUUGGAGGGUUUCCGCCCUUCAGUGCCGGAGCUAACGCAUUAAGCACUCCGCCUGGGGAGUACGACCGCAAGGUUGAAACUCAAAGGAAUUGACGGGGGCCCGCACAAGCGGUGGAGCAUGUGGUUUAAUUCGAAGCUACGCGAAGAACCUUACCAGGUCUUGACAUCUUGCGCCAACCCUAGAGAUAGGGCGUUUCCUUCGGGAACGCAAUGACAGGUGGUGCAUGGUCGUCGUCAGCUCGUGUCGUGAGAUGUUGGGUUAAGUCCCGCAACGAGCGCAACCCUUGUUACUAGUUGCCAGCAUUAAGUUGGGCACUCUAGUGAGACUGCCGGUGACAAACCGGAGGAAGGUGGGGACGACGUCAGAUCAUCAUGCCCCUUAUGACCUGGGCUACACACGUGCUACAAUGGACGGUACAACGAGUCGCGAACUCGCGAGGGCAAGCAAAUCUCUUAAAACCGUUCUCAGUUCGGACUGCAGGCUGCAACUCGCCUGCACGAAGUCGGAAUCGCUAGUAAUCGCGGAUCAGCAUGCCGCGGUGAAUACGUUCCCGGGCCUUGUACACACCGCCCGUCACACCAUGAGAGUUUGUAACACCCAAAGUCGGUGGGGUAACCUUUUAGGAGCCAGCCGCGUAAGUGACAAA